CUAAGAAUAUUCCGCAAUGGACGAAAGUCUGACGGAGCGACGCCGCGUGGAUGAAGAAGGCCGAAAGGUUGUAAAAUCCUUUUGCUGGGGAAGAAUAAGCGUGGCAGGAAAUGGCCGCGUGAUGACAUGAACCGGUGAAUAAGCCCCGGCUAACUACGUGCCAGCAGCCGCGGUAACACGUAGGGGGCAAGCGUUGUUCGGAAUUAUUGGGCGUAAAGGGCAUGUAGGCGGUCUUGUAAGUCUGGCGUGAAAUGGUAAGGCUCAACCUUAUCCUGCGUCGGAAACUGCGAGACUAGAAUCACUGAGGGGGAAUCAGAAUUCCAGGUGUAGGGGUGAAAUCUGUAGAUAUCUGGAAGAAUACCGGUGGCGAAGGCGGAUUCCUGGCAGAUGAUUGACGCUGAGGUGCGAAAGCGUGGGGAGCAAACAGG
rnacentral:rRNA from 1 species